rnacentral:rRNA from 1 species
AACGAACGCUGGCGGCAGGCUUAACACAUGCAAGUCGAACGCUCGUAGCAAUACGGGAGUGGCGGACGGGUGAGUAACGCGUGGGAACGUGCCCUGAGGUACGGAAUAACUGAGGGAAACUUCAGCUAAUACCGUAUGAGCCCCGAGAGGGGGAAAGAUUUAUCGCCUUGGGAGCGGCCCGCGUCGGAUUAGCUAGUUGGUGGGGUAACGGCCUACCAAGGCUUCGAUCCGUAGCUGGUCUGAGAGGACGAUCAGCCACACUGGGACUGAGACACGGCCCAGACUCCUACGGGAGGCAGCAGUGGGGAAUAUUGGACAAUGGGCGCAAGCCUGAUCCAGCCAUGCCGCGUGAGUGAUGACGGCCUUAGGGUUGUAAAGUUCUUUUACCCGUGACGAUGAUGACGGU